AACGAACGCUGGCGGCGCGCCUAAUACAUGCAAGUCGAGCGAGAAGACGUAGCAAUACGUUUGUAAAGCGGCGAACGGGUGAGGAAUACAUGGGUAACCUACCCUCGAGUGGGGAAUAACUAGCCGAAAGGUUAGCUAAUACCGCGUACGCUCCUUGGACUUCGGUUCAGGGAGGAAAGCGAUACCGUGGGUAUCGCGCUCUUGGAUGGGCUCAUGUCCUAUCAGCUUGUUGGUGAGGUAACGGCUCACCAAGGCUUCGACGGGUAGCUGGUCUGAGAGGACGAUCAGCCACACUGGCACUGCGACACGGGCCAGACUCCUACGGGAGGCAGCAGGUAAGGAAUAUUGCGCAAUGGGCGAAAGCCUGACGCAGCGACGCCGC
rnacentral:rRNA from 1 species